rnacentral:rRNA from 1 species
CCUACGGGUGGCUGCAGUGGGGAAUAUUGGACAAUGGGCGCAAGCCUGAUCCAGCCAUGCCGCGUGAGUGAAGAAGGCCUUCGGGUUGUAAAGCUCUUUUGGCGGGGACGAUAAUGACGGUACCCGCAGAAUAAGCUCCGGCUAACUUCGUGCCAGCAGCCGCGGUAAUACGAAGGGAGCUAGCGUUGUUCGGAAUCACUGGGCGUAAAGCGCACGUAGGCGGACUUGUCAGUCAGGGGUGAAAUCCUGAGGCUCAACCUCAGAACUGCCUCCGAUACAGCAAGUCUUGAGUCCGGGAGAGGUGAGUGGAAUUCCUAGUGUAGAGGUGAAAUUCGUAGAUAUUAGGAAGAACACCAGUGGCGAAGGCGGCUCACUGGCCCGGUACUGACGCUGAGGUGCGAAAGCGUGGGGAGCAAACAGGCUUAGAUACCCCGGUAGUC